AACCAUAUCGCGUUUGGGAUGCAUUUUUUGUUUGCUUUGUAUCACAGCGCUCGAUAUGGCCCU
rnacentral:pre_miRNA from 1 species